ensembl:lncRNA
AAAAUACAGAGCUGAUAGUGCUCUACUAAGGGCUGUGUUUCCUGUCAGGUGGCUUUAUCGUCCUGGUUUUGUAAUCAGUGUGAAAGGGAAAGUGGUCCAUUUCUAAAAUGAGAGGAAUACGCUGCAGAACAAGCUCACCAGGAAGAAAACAGUUGCUUCAGUCGUGUCUGGCUGACCCUAUGGACUGUAGCCCUCCAGGCUCCUCUGUCCAUGGGAUUCUCCAGUGGUUAUGUAUAUGAGGCUGUCGCUUGAAGAAAAUCAGAAGAAAGCACAUGAGCAAAUGCAGUUGGAGAGGCAAACAGUUGUUCUCCUACCUUUGGGGGACACAGAAAGGAAAAUGUGUUCCAGCUACAUGACCACCUGCCAGAAAUGCUGUAGAAGAAAUGCUACAAAUUGGGUACUAGAAGACUGCAAAGACGGCUCUACUUAUUCUCUUCUUUUUUUACAUAUCCUUUUGCAAGAUGAUGUUGAAAUAGUUCCCAGUGAGAGAUGGCAUUUCCCCACCCCUUGAAUCUGGGCUGGCC